rnacentral:rRNA from 1 species
CACAUGCAAGUCGAGGGGCAGCGGGAUUGAAGCUUGCUUCAAUUGCCGGCGACCGGCGCACGGGUGAGUAACGCGUAUCCAACCUUCCGUACACUCAGGGAUAGCCUUUCGAAAGAAAGAUUAAUACCUGAUGGUAUGAUGAGAUUGCAUGAUAGCAUCAUUAAAGAUUUAUCGGUGUACGAUGGGGAUGCGUUCCAUUAGGUAGUAGGCGGGGUAACGGCCCACCUAGCCAACGAUGGAUAGGGGUUCUGAGAGGAAGGUCCCCCACAUUGGAACUGAGACACGGUCCAAACUCCUACGGGAGGCAGCAGUGAGGAAUAUUGGUCAAUGGACGAGAGUCUGAACCAGCCAAGUAGCGUGAAGGAUGAAGGUCUUACGGAUUGUAAACUUCUUUUAUAAGGGAAUAAAACCUCCCACGUGUGGGAGCUUGUAUGUACCUUAUGAAUAAGCAUCGGCUAACUCCGUGCCAGCAGCCGCGGUAAUACGGAGGAUGCGAGCGUUAUCCGGAUUUAUUGGGUUUAAAGGGAGCGCAGACGGGUCGUUAAGUCAGCUGUGAAAGUUUGGGGCUCAACCUUAAAAUUGCAGUUGAUACUGGCGUCCUUGAGUGCGGUUGAGGUGUGCGGAAUUCGUGGUGUAGCGGUGAAAUGCUUAGAUAUCACGAAGAACUCCGAUUGCGAAGGCAGCACACUAAGCCGUAACUGACGUUCAUGCUCGAAAGUGUGGGUAUCAAACAGGAUUAGAUACCCUGGUAGUCCACACGGUAAACGAUGGAUACUCGCUGUUGGCGAUAUACGGUCAGCGGCUUAGCGAAAGCGUUAAGUAUCCCACCUGGGGAGUACGCCGGCACGGUGAAACUCAGAGGAAUUGACGGGGGCCCGCACAAGCGGAGGAACAUGUGGUUUAAUUCGAUGAUACGCGAGGAACCUUACC